AGAAACAGUUGAUAGAACAGGUACUUUCUUGGGCACAUUAUGGGAAUCGAGAUCCAAUGUGGCAGUGACUCUACUGGAAGCUGGUUUAGCAAGGCUUCAAAUUUCUUUUGGUACUGAUAGAAUCCAAGAUGCUCAUCUCCUCAUGCAAGCUGAACAGGCAGCCAAAAGGCAGAAAUUGAAGGCAAGAGCAGGAUCUGUUACUUCUUUUGGUACUGAUAGAAUCCAUGAUGCUCAUCUCCUCAUGCAAGCUGAACAGGCAGCCAAAAGGCAGAAAUUGAAGGCAAGAGCUUGAUCUGCUAUACAAUUUUUUUUAAAAUAAAAAUGGUCUGUUAUACUUGUUAGUCAUGGGUUUGUUCUUUAUUAUUAAC
rnacentral:lncRNA from 1 species